UACAGAGGGUGCAAGCGUUGUUCGGAAUUAUUGGGCGUAAAGGGCGCGUAGGCGGCCUUCUAAGUCGAACGUGAAAUCCCCGGGCUCAACCCGGGAACUGCGUCCGAUACUGGAAGGCUUGAAUCCGGGAGAGGGAUGCGGAAUUCCAGGUGUAGCGGUGAAAUGCGUAGAUAUCUGGAGGAACACCGGUGGCGAAGGCGGCAUCCUGGACCGGCAUUGACGCUGAGGCGCGAAAGCCAGGGGAGCAAACGGG
rnacentral:rRNA from 1 species